rnacentral:rRNA from 1 species
UACGUAGGGCGCAAGCGUUAUCCGGAAUUAUUGGGCGUAAAGAGCUCGUAGGCGGUUUGUCGCGUCUGCCGUGAAAGUCCGGGGCUCAACUCCGGAUCUGCGGUGGGUACGGGCAGACUAGAGUGAUGUAGGGGAGACUGGAAUUCCUGGUGUAGCGGUGAAAUGCGCAGAUAUCAGGAGGAACACCGAUGGCGAAGGCGGCUUCCUGGCUGUUCUUGACGCUGAGGCGCGAAAGUGUGGGGAGCGAACAGG